rnacentral:tRNA from 1 species
ACCUGGCUGGCUCAGUCGGUAGAGUGUGUGACCCUUGAUCUCGGGGUUGUGAGUUCAAGCCCCAUGUUGGGUG